rnacentral:rRNA from 1 species
UACGAAGGGUGCAAGCGUUGUUCGGAAUCACUGGGCGUAAAGAAUGCGUAGGCGGCUUAACAAGUCGGGAGUGAAAUCCCAGGGCUCAACCCUGGAACUGCUCUCGAAACUGUUUUGCUAGAGUCCCGGAGGGGUUAGCGGAAUUCCGAGUGUAGAGGUGAAAUUCGCAGAUAUUCGGAGGAACACCAGUGGCGAAGGCG